rnacentral:lncRNA from 1 species
UUUUCUUACCCUAGUCGCCUUGCUUUUAGACCGCUGCUAGGCCACUGUCCGGCCUCCUCCUGUGAGCUCUUCGACCAACUAAGACUCCAGAGGACUUAGUUAACGAUGACCCCAAAGCCCUCUGGUGAGCUCUCUCGAGUCUAACUCCCGUUUUCAUAUUUUGGUUAAUGGGUUAGUAGCUUUAACCAAUUUUAGUUGUGGGGGUUUAGCAAAGAUUUAUAGAAUAUUUUCUUCAGAGAUUUAGUUGGAAAUUUGUCUCGUUCUAGUCGCUGGUGUUGUCGGUUUUAAAGGUCGUCUCUUUCACCUUUUUCAUUCUUCCUUGCUUCUCUGUUCUCUCUCUUUUCUUUUUUUUUUUACUUCUUUGCUUGGUAGGUCCUUGUCAUUUUGGCUAAUGGAGUAGAUUCUCUUCUUUUUUUUUUUUUAAUAUUGGUUGUUGUUUGAUUCUUAUUGGGUUUGAUAGAUUUGGUAUUUGGAUUUGAUUUCUGGUAAUGGGGGAAUUUGAAUCAUUCAUUGGGUUGAUGUGGUGAGAAUGAUGAAACAUAGUAGAUGGUGGUGGUGAUUUUAGGGUGAAGGUUUCACUUUCACUCUUAGACUUCCUUCAAGCUUCAGUGUGAAUCAUUGAUGAAGCUGCUUUCGGCAAAAACUUCAACAUCUUGUUUUUGGGUUUCAUCUGUUUCUCCAUUAUUGUUUGUAAAAAAAAAUAUCAUUUUUUUUCCAACUUUCUUUCUAAUAUUUUGUUUCAUUAGCCCGAUUAUAGGUUCCUUUCCAUUGUUUUUCCAAAAAAUGUUACUUUUCUACUAGUAAUUAAUUUUCCAGUAAACACAGAGGUAAGAAAGUUUUUCUCAGUUUUAUGUAUUAUUUUAAAUAAUUAUCCAAAUUUCAAUUUCAAUUGGGUUUUGUUUUC